ACUAUAGCUUGACACUGAACAUUGAGCCUUGAUGUGUAGGAUAGGUGGGAGGCUUUGAAGUGUGGACGCCAGUCUGCAUGGAGCCGGCCUUGAAAUACCACCCUUUAAUGUUUGAUGUUCUAACGUUGACCCGUGAUCCGGGUUGCGGACAGUGUCUGGUGGGUAGUUUGACUGGGGCGGUCUCCUCCUAAAGAGUAACGGAGGAGCACGAAGGUUGGCUAAUCCUGGUCGGACAUCAGGAGGUUAGUGCAAUGGCAUAAGCCAGCUUGACUGCGAGCGUGACGGCGCGAGCAGGUGCGAAAGCAGGUCAUAGUGAUCCGGUGGUUCUGAAUGGAAGGGCCAUCGCUCAACGGAUAAAAGGUACUCCGGGGAUAACAGGCUGAUACCGCCCAAGAGUUCAUAUCGACGGCGGUGUUUGGCACCUCGAUGUCGGCUCAUCACAUCCUGGGGCUGAAGUAGGUCCCAAGGGUAUGGCUGUUCGCCAUUUAAAGUGGUACGCGAGCUGGGUUUAGAACGUCGUGAGACAGUUCGGUCCCUAUCUGCCGUGGGCGCUGGAGAACUGAGGGGGGCUGCUCCUAGUACGAGAGGACCGGAGUGGACGCAUCACUGGUGUUCGGGUUGUCAUGCCAAUGGCACUGCCCGGUAGCUAAAUGCGGAAGAGAUAAGUGCUGAAAGCAUC
rnacentral:rRNA from 1 species